UACGUAGGGUGCAAGCGUUGUCCGGAAUUAUUGGGCGUAAAGGGCUCGUAGGCGGUCCAUCACGUCGGGAGUGAAAAGCUGGGGCUUAACCCCAGUCCUGCUUCCGAUACGGGUGGACUAGAGGUAGGUAGGGGAGAACGGAAUUCCUGGUGUAGCGGUGAAAUGCGUAGAUAUCCGGAGGAACACCGGUGGCGAAGGCGGCUUCCUGGACCGACACUGACGCUGAGGCGCGAAAGCUAGGGGAGCAAACGGG
rnacentral:rRNA from 1 species